rnacentral:rRNA from 1 species
AAAGCGCGCGUUAGGCGGCCAAUUAAGUCAAAUGUGAAAUCCCCGAGCUUAACUUGGGAAUUGCAUUCGAUACUGGUUGGCUAGAGUGUGGGAGAGGAUGGUAGAAUUCCAGGUGUAGCGGUGAAAUGCGUAGAGAUCUGGAGGAAUACCGAUGGCGAAGGCAGCCAUCUGGCCUAACACUGACGCUGAGGUGCGAAAGCAUGGGGAGCAAACAGGAUUAGAUACCCUGGUAGUCCAUGCCGUAAACGAUGUCUACUAGCCGUUGGGGCCUUUGAGGCUUUAGUGGCGCAGCUAACGCGAUAAGUAGACCGCCUGGGGAGUACGGUCGCAAGACUAAAACUCAAAUGAAUUGACGGGGGCCCGCACAAGCGGUGGAGCAUGUGGUUUAAUUCGAUGCAACGCGAAGAACCUUACCUGGCCUUGACAUAGUAGAAACUUUCCAGAGAUGGAUUGGUGCCUUCGGGAAUCUACAUACACGAUGCUGCAUGGCUGUCGUUCAGCUCGUGUCGUGAGAUGUUGGGUUAAGUCCCGCAACGAGCGCAACCCUUUUCCUUUACUUGCCAGCAUUGCGGAUGGGGAACUUUAAGGAUACUGCCAGUGACAAAACUGGAGGAAGGCGGGGGAACGACGUCAAGUCAUCAUGGCCCUUACCGGCCAGGG